AGACGGAGGGGGCUAGCGUUAUUCGGAAUUACUGGGCGUAAAGGGCGCGUAGGCGGAUUAGUAAGUUGGGAGUGAAAGCCCGGGGCUUAACCUCGGAACUGCUUUCAAAACUGCUAGUCUUGAGUGAAGUAGGGGGUGAUGGAAUUCCUAGUGUAGAGGUGAAAUUCUUAGAUAUUAGGAGGAACACCGGUGGCGAAGGCGGUCACCUGGACUUCAACUGACGCUGAGGCGCGAAAGCGUGGGGAGCAAACAGGAUUAGAUACCCUAGUAGUCC
rnacentral:rRNA from 1 species